rnacentral:tRNA from 1 species
GGAGAGGUAUCGAAGUGGUCAUAACGGGGCUGACUCGAAAUCAGUUUGUGUGAAAGCACACAUGGGUUCGAAUCCCAUCCUCUCCGCCA